AAUGAACGCUGGCGGCAUGCCUAACACAUGCAAGUCGAACGACGGCUCCGGGCGUAGUUGCUCUCGGGUGUGGCAAGUGUCGGAAGCGGCCGUAGUGCUUGGAAUACUACUGUGUCAUGGGUGCUAAUACCGGAUGAUUUCUUCUGAUAACACAUUCAACGUACAGGGAUGAGCCCGGGUAGGAUUGACUAGGUGGUGGUGUAAUGGCCGAUCAAGGCGACGAUCAUUAGCUGGGCUGAGAGGAUGAUCAGCCACACUGGGACUGAGACACGGCCCAGACUCCUACGGGAGGCAGCAGUGGGGAAUAUUGGACAAUGGGCGCGAGCCUGAUCCAGCAAUGCCGCGUGAGUAAUGAAGGCCUUAGGGUUGUAAAGCUCUUUUACCCGGGAUGAUAAUGACAGUACCGGGAGAAUAAGCUCCGGCUAACUCCGUG
rnacentral:rRNA from 1 species